GUCUCAGUUCGGAUGUAGUCUGCAACUCGACUACAUGAAGCUGGAAUCGCUAGUAAUCGCGGAUCAGAAUGCCGCGGUGAGUACGUUCCCGGGUCUUGUACACACCGCCCGUCACACCAUGGGAGUCGGAAAUGCCCGAAGUCUGUGACCGAACCGAAAGGAAGGAGCAGCCGAAGGCAGGUCGGAUGACUGGGGUGAAGUCGUAACAAGGUACC
rnacentral:rRNA from 1 species